rnacentral:rRNA from 1 species
GACGAACGCUGGCGGCGUGCUUAACACAUGCAAGUCGAACGAUGAAGAAGAGAAACGCGAACUUCGGUUCAAAUUUCACUUCGGAUUAGUGGCAGACGGGUGAGUAACGCGUGAGCAACCUACCUCUUACAAAGGGAUAGCCACGGGAAACCGUGAUUAAUACCAUAUGACACAUUCAUAAGGCAUCUUAAGAAUGUUAAAGCUACGGCGGUAAGAGAUGGGCUCGCGUCCCAUUAGCUAGUUGGUGAGGUAACGGCCCACCAAGGCGACGAUGGGUAACCGGCCUGAGAGGGUGAACGGUCACAUUGGAACUGAGACACGGUCCAAACUCCUACGGGAGGCAGCAGUGGGGAAUAUUGCACAAUGGAGGGAACUCUGAUGCAGCGACGCCGCGUGAGCGAUGAAGGAAUUCGUUUCGUAAAGCUCUGUUCUAUGGGAAGAAAAGGACUGUACCAUAGGAGAAAGCCCCGGCUAAAUACGUG